rnacentral:misc_RNA from 1 species
AAAAACAGAAUUACUCAUUGUGCUUGGUUGCCUGUGUAUAAACUCUCUAACAAUCAAAUAGCACUAUGGAAAACACAUUAUUUCGGGCACACAAAAAUGAUCAGGCAGUUUCUGGUAUUAGCACCGAACCGUUGAUCGGUGGACUAAUCGGAACUUGGAGAUCCAGAUUGACAGGAAACAUCUCACACUGAGCUAGAUGCGCCAUCAGCUGAUCCACGAGCACCAAGGCUACCAUUGCUUCCACCAUUGGAACGGCUCGGGGAACAACACAAGGAUCAUGCCGACCCCUUGCGAUAAGCUCAGUUUCCUGUCGGUCUCGGGUCACUGUAUUCUGCUUCUUCGAUAUUGUUGAAGUUGGUUUGAAAGCUACUCUCAUGUAUAUGGUUUCCCCAUUAGAUAUCCCACCCUGAAUACCACCAGAUCUGUUAGUUCUUGUUCUGACUUCCCCAUUUUCAUCUGUAUAAAACUCAUCAUUGUGCUCACUUCCUGUCAAAAAUGUUCCUGCAAAUCCG